CAGCUCACGGCAACGCCGGAUCGUUAACCCACUGAGCAAGGGCAGGGAUCGAACCCGCAACCUCAUGGUUCCCAGUCGGAUUCAUUAGCCACUGCGCCACCACGGGAACUCCAACAAUCUUAAUUCUUAAUAAAUGGUUCCUAGCCUAUAAAUUUCUGAAAUUUCCAUUUUGUACUCCUUGGAUAACCAGAGAAAUUUUUAUAUACAGCUUUAUCCCUUAAAAAAAAAAAAAAAAAAGCUGGAUUCUUUUUAUUCUACUUCAUCGUCUCUACCCCCCCUCCAUUUCUAAUUAUUUCUCCUUUAAUACUGACCUUGUAUUUAGUUACUCCCCUUAUCCUUAGGGGCACCGGAUGUUUUAAAAUCUUGCAUCAAGUGCUCACUCAAAAAUGUUAACAGUUUUAGGGAGUUCCCACUGUAGCACAGCCGAAAGUAACUGACUAGUAUCCGUGAGGAAGCAGGUUCGAUCCCUGGCCUUGCUAAGUGGGUUAAGGAUCCAGUGUUGCUAUGAGCUGUGGUGUAGGUAGCAGAUGAGACUCAGAUCUGAGCUGCUGUGGCUCCGAUUCAACCCCAGCCUGAGAACUUACAUAUGCUGUAGGUGUGGCCCUAAACAGCAAAAAGAAAAAAAAAAAAAAAAAGGAAAAAGUUAACUGUUUUAAACUGUCGAGUGUGUCUGGGUUUGGAUGUCAAAAACUCUGUAGAUCUUUUGGUCUUGAGAGCCGAGCACAUCCGCCACCCAGCCAGCCAGCUGUCCCUGCAUAGCAGCCCUUCAGGCGGGCGCUGGUUCUGCAGUUACAAAGCACCUACUGGGUGCUAUGCAGUGAGUGAGACGGCCACAACCCUGGAAGCCCCUUGGGUAAGUGUCAUUCUAGGCACCUCUAUCUUCUGACUCAUCUCUUGGACCACUCGCAAGCCUCUAAGGUCAUCUUCACUGCUAUCUGUUCCAGAGAGGUGUGUGCCCACUUGACAGAAAAUAAAAGCUGUGUUUACCAGCUAACAAGGUUGACAGUGGAUCCUCACCUUACUGGGCCAGGACUCACUGACGCACCCACCUGCCUGGGGCCGCAUAAGAUUAUCCCUAUCAACUGCAGCUCCAAGUACUGGCUUUCAAUCAACCAUCUGAAUAACCCCCGGGGAACUCAGUCCCCUUACCUGCAACUCCCCAUCUAGCUAGGGGGCUAUUACACAAAGGCACAGACCCCUGGGCAGGUGUUUUACAUCUUUUGGGCCUCAGUUUCCCCACCCUAAGUGAUUAGGGACCUAAUGCCAGGUACUGCAUGUAGUAAAGACUGAUAGAAACUACUGUUUUCUCUUUUUUUCUUUUGUCUUUUUGCCGUUUCUUGGGCUGCUCCUGCGGCAUAUGGAGGUUCCCAGGCUAGGGUCUAACCUGAGCUGGAGCCACUGGCCUACGCCAGAGCCACAGCAACGCUGGAUCCAAGCCACGUCUGCGACCUCCACCACAGCUCACAGCAACACCAGAUCCUUAACCCACUGAGCAAGGCCAGGGAUCAAACCCGCAACCUCAUGGUUCCUAGUCGGAUUCGUUAACCACUGUGCCACAAAGGGAACCCUUUUUUUUUUUUUUUUUUUAUGCUGUUUUCUUUCUUUCUUUCUUUUUUUUUUUCUUGUUCUUGUUGUUGUCGUUGUUGUUGCUAUUUCUUGGGCCGCUCCCGCGGCAUAUGGAGGUUCCCAGGCUAGGGGUUGAAUCGGAGCUGUAGCCACCGGCCUACGCCAGAGCCACAGCAACGUGGGAUCCGAGCCGCAUCUGCAAUCUACACCACAGCUCACGGCAACGCCGGAUCGUUAACCCAUUGAGCAAGGGCAGGGACCGAACCCGCAACCUCAUGGUUCCUAGUCGGAUUCGUUAACCACUGCGCCACGACGGGAACUCCUGUUUUCUAAUUAAAGUUUUCUUCUCUCAAAUUCAGUCUCCCUGCUCCCUCCCUUCCAGGUAAGCUCUCUCCCUCACAGUUCAGUUUCCUAGUGAAUGCUGACCGAUUAACCAGGUACACCAGGGCUACCAGUGCACAAAUAAUAGUAACUGGUUACAGUGACAAUUUGCCAGCUUGUUGGGGGAGGUGGGCAGGGUCUGCUCCCCUUAACCUGUUGCAUGCUCCCGUCCCUCUUACUCCUUGUCCCGGAUGCCCCCAGCUCUCCCCACUUUCUGCUCCUCUCCCCACUCCUCACGCCUCAGCUCUGCUGGGCGCCCUGCAACAUCGCCUUUGAAAUGUGUCUCCUAAGGCUGCUGACUGUUGUGCAUCAGAAACUCCAAAGCCAGGCCCAAAGGAGAAUGUACCAAAGCCCCUGACGGGCAUCUUGACCUCACUCAAAGUCUCUGAAUCAGCACCAGCAGCUAGCAUUUCGUGAAAGGCCCCAGCACCCAGGCUUUUAUGCCACCACAGCCCCACUAAGGACAGCAUCCUAGCUUUAGGCAACAGAAAUCACGCUGGGAGAGGCUACGGACCUGCCGAAGGCCACACUCCGGGAAAGGCAGCAGCCGGAAUCCCCGCCCUGUUCCUUCAGACCCUUCACAGCGAAGAGGGCUUCCCCCCAGCCACCAUCUUUGCCUCAGAAGUCACUGCCCUUGCCACUGCCCGCCUGAUGGUCUUUCCCCACAGUCUCCACCUGGGUCUCCUUCCCCAUCUCGCGCUCUGUUCGGACGCCACCGCAGAGCUGCCUUCCUGCCCAGUUCUGAGCUAACACUGGCCACCCACGCUUCCCCGCUACUCCAGACAUCCUGCUGUUGCGUUUUCCUUCACGGCCCUGCCCGCCAUCUCCAAGUACCUGGUUCAUUAACUGACUCACUCCCCCACCUUGUCAAGAAGAGCACUGCGCAGUGGAACGUUCUUCGGUGAAGGAAGUGGCCUCUAUCUGCACUGUCCGGCACCACAGCCGUGAGCGGCAGGUGACCCGUGUGACUAAGCAACUGGUGCUCAAGCAGUGUUUUGACAAGUGCAGCCUGAGAGCCUUGGUGAGCGCUUCGCCAAGGGACAUGUGGGCCUUCAGGUCUGAUAUAUUCAUAUUCCAAAUUGCAGGGCCUCUCACUGGCACUGCAACUGUGUCCUAUCUGUAUGUCAUCAUGGGAGGACAGCUGCUGCCGCCGCCAAGUUCCUGUCUUUCACUUGGGAGCCCAAGCGGGCCUGGGGUGAGAGGACGCUUGGUUUUCACUGGACUUGCUUCCUCUCAGACCAGCCAGGCCAGGGACUUGCAUUCAUGCUCCCACAGCAUUUCUCUGGAGUCUGCUGGCUGGGAUGAGAGUAGGACUUAGGAAAGGACUUCAUAUACUUCAGGUGUCAAUGAGCCCUAAAAAGUCAGUGCUUGUACUUAAGUCUUCCAUGGCCUUUUUUUCUUGGGGGGGGGGAAAGUAUUUUUAGGGCUACACCUGUGGCAUACGGAGGUUCCCAGGCUAGGGAUCUAAUAGGAGCUGUAGCCACCGGCCUGCGCUAGAGCCACAGCAGUGCAGGACCUGAGCCACAUCUGUGACCUACACUGCAGCUCACGGCAACGCCAGAUCCUUAACCCACUGAGCGAGGCCAGGGAUCGAACCCACAUCCUCAUGGAUCCUAGUCGGGUUCGUUAACCACUGGGCCACGACGGGAACUCCCUUCCAUGGCCUUCUAAUGUAACUUUCUUCAAAUAGAGCUGACUUUACAGUACUUAACUGAACUUAACAAUUUAUUCUUAGGUAUCAUUUCAAAAUGAUACCUAAGAAUAAACAAUUCUUAACAAUUUAACAAUUGUUAACUAUUUUUCUUAGGUAUCAUUUCGAAAAAGCAUUGUUAACAAAAUCUUUCCUCCAUCUGUUAAAUUGGUUAUUCCUGGUAUAAGUCAAGGCUGUUUCUGUAUUUUUGUAAUCUGUUGCACCUGCUCGACUCAUAACUAUUUCAGAGCAUUAGCUUUUUUUAAGGUAUUGUUAUGAGCUACCAUUAUUUCUUCUUUUUUGGUAUUUUUCUCAUUUUGUGCUUUAGUGAGAACAAUGCUAUGUGUGUGUUGCAGAAAAAACCUAUUAACAUAGUACCCUGUGUUUUGUCACUGAAUAGCUCACGUUCCAUGGAAAAUAUCUUUUAACAGAAGUUGGAAAAUAUUCACUGCCCAGGUCAAUACAGAAAUGCAACCAACUGGUCACUUUGUUCUAAGAAAAAGUCCCACUUCUCCUGGGACCAAUUUUGCCAUCUUUACACUUUUCUAGAAAGCUUUCCAUCUUAUUGUUUUUUCAUUCAUGUACUCAACAAAUAAUUACUGAGUACCUAUGCUAUGUCAGGAACUGGUGACACAGCGGGAAGACGACCGUUGUUUCCAUUUUAGGAGCACAGUUAUGGGCAGACCCUCUAAACAUGGAAAGUAUCCUCCCACCCAGCUUCCUUCCCACAAGGCGGUCACAUCCUGUUAGUUUCUGUGUUCUCCCAAUGAUAACCAGUUGGCAUGUUCAAACUUGCAUGUGUUCAUGUGUGCGUCUUUAAGGGGAUCUUUAUGUAUGUUAAGAUGUGUAUUUUACAUAUUUUAAGAAAUAUGUCUCUCUCGGAGAUUGUUUCUUCAGUCACAGAGCUGCUUAUUCCUUACGACUGUUGUGUAAAGUACUACAGUGGGAACAACUACACGUACUGCUGUCUAUCUGUGUAGAGUUUCUCUUUCCUGUAUAAGAUUUUAGCUUGGCUUUUAUUUAUUGUCUAUCCAGAAAAUGGGCUCUUGCAUUCUU